AACGAACGCUGGCGGCAUGCUUAACACAUGCAAGUCGAACGGAAAGGCCCUGCUUUUGUGGGCUGCUCUAGUGGCGAACUGGUGAGUAACCCGUGAGUACCCUACCCUUGACUUUAGGAUGACUUCAGUAAGCUGAUUCUCAUCCCAGAUAAGAGCUCCUGCUUCAUGGUGGGCGUUGGUCAGUUUCGGCGGUUGGGGGUGGACUCGCGGCUUAUCAGCUUGAUUGUGUGGUAGUGGCUUACCAAGGCUUUGCACGGUAGCCGGCCUGCGAGGGUGACCGGCCAAACUGGGAUGGAGAUACGGCACAGACUCCUACGGGAGGCAGCAGUGGGGAAUAUUGCACAAUGGGCGGAAGCAUGAUGUAGCAAAGCCGUGUGCGGGAUGACGGGCAGCGGGUUGGAAACCGCAUUCGCCUGAGACGAAGCGUGAGUGACGGUACCGGGUAAAGAAGCACCGGCUAACUACGUG
rnacentral:rRNA from 1 species